UUAUUUGCAGCGUUUUUCACAUCGCUACAAAUGUGUUAACACAUUUGUUACCUGGCCGGGAGGAGUGUAUUGAAAUUAUUUGUUACAGCGAGUUUUUGAGUAAUAGCGGCAAUUAGUGGCGCUGUAAAUAAAAAUGGACUUGUUACGGCACUGGGACCUACGUCGGGAUGAAGCUGGGCGCCAAAGUAGUAAAAAUGUUUUAAUUUCCCCCCACCCCCCGCCCCAACAUUUCGCAGACCACAGUACCUUUCUUCCCUCGUGUUCAGAGAACUCCCUAACCGCAAGCAUCCAUCUGCAAAACCUAUUUGCCCUACCUCCACCUGCAAAUUGCGAGUUCGACCAACUGGUUUGGGGGGAACCGAACUUGAAGCUAGAAGGAUUCACAAGGCACACACGUUCACGGGGCUCUCUUUCAGUUUUCGGAGUCCUAUUUUCCCACCCCCUUCCCCCCUAGUUCGUGUAAAUUCCUCUGUUUUUGGUCUAUCAAUUCCGACUAUAGAGCCCCCUUCGCUGAGCAUUAGGUUUUGGUGCCCUGUUAUUAGGCUGUUCACCGCGGAUUUGGGUUCAAUUUGCAGCGUCGACCGAUGCUGAUUUUCAGCUCAUAGUGGUCAUUGUGAAGCACGAUCCUUUUCUUGGUGGCAAAGGGUUAUUGGUAGAAGCCUCUUCCCCUUCAUUUCCUCCACUCGGUUGGUCUAUGAAAAAUUAGCUGCUGGAUCUUUGAUUGCAACAAGAUAACAUUGAAGGGCUACGUAACCUAUGGUGUCUCACAUGGGGGGCUUUGGUAGAUGUUCCAGCGGCUCUUCCUUGGACACCUAAACCUGCUGUAUUGGGCUGUAUUUAUGGAGAGAACUUGAAAUUUACACAUGUAUUUCCUGUUAGCUUGACUCCGAAACAUAGUAGUUAAAAUUCCCUUCCAUUAAUGCACCGUCCUAAUGUAUUGAUUACUAAAAGAUUGUAACAAUGUUGUAUUGGAUUUCUGAAUUUUUAUUAUAUUGAAAAUGUUAUGGUUGU